UUAAGCGACUAAGCGUACACGGUGGAUGCCCUGGCAGUCAGAGGCGAUGAAGGACGUGCUAAUCUGCGAAAAGCGUCGGUAAGGUGAUAUGAACCGUUAUAACCGGCGAUGUCCGAAUGGGGAAACCCAGUGUGAUUCGUCACACUAUCGUUAACUGAAUACAUAGGUUAACGAGGCGAACCGGGGGAACUGAAACAUCUAAGUACCCCGAGGAAAAGAAAUCAACCGAGAUUCCCCCAGUAGCGGCGAGCGAACGGGGAGCAGCCCAGAGUCUGAAUCAGCUUGUGUGUUAGUGGAACGGUCUGGAAAGUCCGACGGUACAGGGUGAUAGUCCCGUACACCAAAAUGCACAGGNUGUGAACUCGAAGAGUAGGGCGGGACACGUGGUAUCCUGUCUGAAUAUGGGGGGACCAUCCUCCAAGGCUAAAUACUCCUGACUGACCGAUAGUGAACCAGUACCGUGAGGGAAAGGCGAAAAGAACCCCGGCGAGGGGAGUGAAAAAGAACCUGAAACCGUGUACGUACAAGCAGUGGGAGCACCUUCGGGUGUGACUGCGUACCUUUUGUAUAAUGGGUCAGCGACUUAUAUUCUGUAGCAAGGUUAACCGUAUAGGGGAGCCGCAGGGAAACCGAGUCUUAACUGGGCGUUAAGUUGCAGGGUAUAGACCCGAAACCCGGUGAUCUAGCCAUGGGCAGGUUGAAGGUUGGGUAACACUAACUGGAGGACCGAACCGACUAAUGUUGAAAAAUUAGCGGAUGACUUGUGGCUGGGGGUGAAAGGCCAAUCAAACCGGGAGAUAGCUGGUUCUCCCCGAAAGCUAUUUAGGUAGCGCCUCGUGAACUCAUCUUCGGGGGUAGAGCACUGUUUCGGCUAGGGGGUCAUCCCGACUUACCAACCCGAUGCAAACUACGAAUACCGAAGAAUGUUAUCACGGGAGACACACGGCGGGUGCUAACGUCCGUCGUGAAGAGGGAAACAACCCAGACCGCCAGCUAAGGUCCCAAAGUCAUGGUUAAGUGGGAAACGAUGUGGGAAGGCACAGACAGCCAGGAUGUUGGCUUAGAAGCAGCCAUCAUUUAAAGAAAGCGUAAUAGCUCACUGGUCGAGUCGGCCUGCGCGGAAGAUGUAACGGGGCUAAACCAUGCACCGAAGCUGCGGCAGCGACACUAUGUGUUGUUGGGUAGGGGAGCGUUCUGUAAGCCUGCGAAGGUGNUGUGAACUCGAAGAGUAGGGCGGGACACGUGGUAUCCUGUCUGAAUAUGGGGGGACCAUCCUCCAAGGCUAAAUACUCCUGACUGACCGAUAGUGAACCAGUACCGUGAGGGAAAGGCGAAAAGAACCCCGGCGAGGGGAGUGAAAAAGAACCUGAAACCGUGUACGUACAAGCAGUGGGAGCACCUUCGGGUGUGACUGCGUACCUUUUGUAUAAUGGGUCAGCGACUUAUAUUCUGUAGCAAGGUUAACCGUAUAGGGGAGCCGCAGGGAAACCGAGUCUUAACUGGGCGUUAAGUUGCAGGGUAUAGACCCGAAACCCGGUGAUCUAGCCAUGGGCAGGUUGAAGGUUGGGUAACACUAACUGGAGGACCGAACCGACUAAUGUUGAAAAAUUAGCGGAUGACUUGUGGCUGGGGGUGAAAGGCCAAUCAAACCGGGAGAUAGCUGGUUCUCCCCGAAAGCUAUUUAGGUAGCGCCUCGUGAACUCAUCUUCGGGGGUAGAGCACUGUUUCGGCUAGGGGGUCAUCCCGACUUACCAACCCGAUGCAAACUACGAAUACCGAAGAAUGUUAUCACGGGAGACACACGGCGGGUGCUAACGUCCGUCGUGAAGAGGGAAACAACCCAGACCGCCAGCUAAGGUCCCAAAGUCAUGGUUAAGUGGGAAACGAUGUGGGAAGGCACAGACAGCCAGGAUGUUGGCUUAGAAGCAGCCAUCAUUUAAAGAAAGCGUAAUAGCUCACUGGUCGAGUCGGCCUGCGCGGAAGAUGUAACGGGGCUAAACCAUGCACCGAAGCUGCGGCAGCGACACUAUGUGUUGUUGGGUAGGGGAGCGUUCUGUAAGCCUGCGAAGGUGNCCUGUGAGGGUUGCUGGAGGUAUCAGAAGUGCGAAUGCUGACAUAAGUAACGAUAAAGCGGGUGAAAAGCCCGCUCGCCGGAAGACCAAGGGUUCCUGUCCAACGUUAAUCGGGGCAGGGUGAGUCGACCCCUAAGGCGAGGCCGAAAGGCGUAGUCGAUGGGAAACAGGUUAAUAUUCCUGUACUUGGUGUUACUGCGAAGGGGGGACGGAGAAGGCUAUGUUAGCCGGGCGACGGUUGUCCCGGUUUAAGCAUGUAGGCUGGUUGUCCAGGCAAAUCCGGAUAAUCAAGGCUGAGGUGUGAUGACGAGGCACUACGGUGCUGAAGUAACAAAUGCCCUGCUUCCAGGAAAAGCCUCUAAGCAUCAGGUAACAUCAAAUCGUACCCCAAACCGACACAGGUGGUCAGGUAGAGAAUACCAAGGCGCUUGAGAGAACUCGGGUGAAGGAACUAGGCAAAAUGGUGCCGUAACUUCGGGAGAAGGCACGCUGGUGUGUAGGUGAAGCCCCUGCGGGUGGAGCUGAGACCAGUCGAAGAUACCAGCUGGCUGCAACUGUUUAUUAAAAACACAGCACUGUGCAAACACGAAAGUGGACGUAUACGGUGUGACGCCUGCCCGGUGCCGGAAGGUUAAUUGAUGGGGUUAUCCGUAAGGAGAAGCUCUUGAUCGAAGCCCCGGUAAACGGCGGCCGUAACUAUAACGGUCCUAAGGUAGCGAAAUUCCUUGU
rnacentral:rRNA from 1 species